rnacentral:rRNA from 1 species
AGCGGUAGCACAGGGGAGCUUGCUCCCUGGGUGACGAGCGGCGGACGGGUGAGUAAUGUCUGGGAAACUGCCUGAUGGAGGGGGAUAACUACUGGAAACGGUAGCUAAUACCGCAUAACGUCGCAAGACCAAAGAGGGGGACCUUCGGGCCUCUUGCCAUCAGAUGUGCCCAGAUGGGAUUAGCUAGUAGGUGGGGUAAUGGCUCACCUAGGCGACGAUCCCUAGCUGGUCUGAGAGGAUGACCAGCCACACUGGAACUGAGACACGGUCCAGACUCCUACGGGAGGCAGCAGUGGGGAAUAUUGCACAAUGGGCGCAAGCCUGAUGCAGCCAUGCCGCGUGUGUGAAGAAGGCCUUCGGGUUGUAAAGCACUUUCAGCGAGGAGGAAGGUGGUGAGCUUAAUACGCUCAUCAAUUGACGUUACUCGCAGAAGAAGCACCGGCUAACUCCGUGCCAGCAGCCGCGGUAAUACGGAGGGUGCAAGCGUUAAUCGGAAUUACUGGGCGUAAAGCGCACGCAGGCGGUUUGUUAAGUCAGAUGUGAAAUCCCCGGGCUCAACCUGGGAACUGCAUUUGAAACUGGCAAGCUAGAGUCUCGUAGAGGGGGGUAGAAUUCCAGGUGUAGCGGUGAAAUGCGUAGAGAUCUGGAGGAAUACCGGUGGCGAAAGCGGCCCCCUGGACGAAGACUGACGCUCAGGUGCGAAAGCGUGGGGAACAAACAGGAUUAUAUACCCUGGU